AUUAACUUUAUAAGCUUUGUUUUGUAUUUACAGUGUAUUUUGUGUUUUUAGUAUGUCUAAAUCAUUAUUUCUUUAAAAACAUAAUGGCCAGUUUCACAAACAAGGUAUAGAUUAAUCCAUGACUAGGCCUUAGUUAUAUUAGGAAGUUCUCUUGGAGUAUUGUUUAAUAUAAUUUUUUGUGUGUUUGGUUUUUAAACAGGAUGUUAUGGAAUUAAAGAAGGAAUUAUUAAGAAUUUAAUGUUAGGUGUUUUGCUCAUCGUGCAAUUUUUCUUUUUGCUGUUUUCAUUUAAUGUUCCGAGUCCAGGUAAGUGACACUCUGAUUGUGUAAUGCUAUCAUUUCAUAUCUUAUGAUAUUUUAAUAUUUAUCAUUCCUCUUUUCAUUAACAUUGCUGUUAACCUUGUGGUGGCCUCUUUGAUAAUGUAGUCAUGCAAAAAGUAAGCUUUUUGUUUGCUGUUUUACAGAUUUGAUGGAUUUGACCUGUGUUGUGUUUGUGGCAGUUUUGCUUAUCCUGGUGAUCUAUGAAAACAACGGGCAUGUCCGUCUGCACAAUAGAUUUGUGCUCAUAAUUGGAGCAGUUGGUAUCAUUUUGUUGAACACUUUUACACUGGCAGCAGAAUUGAUUCUAAAAACACGAAAUGGUGAGCGUGCAUUGGGAGAUCUCAGAGUCAUUGUUUUUCCAUCUGAAUGUGCUUUUAUCUUAUGCUGGCUGUUGUUUUCAACAUAUGCUUGGUGU